CAUCGUUGAGACAUCGGUUCUCCUCAUGAUCACUGAAGUUCAACAACGUUGAGCUCGGUCAGUACUUAGAGGGGUGACCGCUUGGGAAUACCA